GACGAACGCUGGCGGCGUGCUUAACACAUGCAAGUCGAACGGAAAGGCCCUGCUUUUGUGGGGUGCUCGAGUGGCGAACGGGUGAGUAACACGUGAGUAACCUGCCCUUGACUUUGGGAUAACUUCAGGAAACUGGGGCUAAUACCGGAUAGGAGCUCCUGCUGCAUGGUGGGGGUUGGAAAGUCUCGGCUGUUGGGGAUGGACUCGCGGCUUAUCAGCUUGUUGGUGGGGUAGUGGCUUACCAAGGCUUUGACGGGUAGCCGGCCUGAGAGGGUGACCGGCCACAUUGGGACUGCGGUACGGCCCAGAGUCCUAUGGGAGGCAGCAGUGGGGAAUAUUGCACAAUGGGCGGAAGCCUGAUGCAGCAACGCCGCGUGCGGGAUGACGGCCUUCGGGUUGUAAACCGCUUUCGCCUGUGACGAAGCGUGAGUGACGGUAAUGGGUAAAGAAGCACCGGCUAACUACGUG
rnacentral:rRNA from 1 species